UGAAUACGAGAUGCUACGGCGUCGAAGCAGUCUAUGUCAUACUUCCAAGAAAAGCUCGCACUGUCAUAAACAAAUAAUGCCUGUACCAUAACCGACACAGGUGGGUAGGUAGAGUAUACUAAGGGGCGCGAGAUAACUCUCUCUAAGGAACUCGGCAAAAUGACUCCGUAACUUCGGGAGAAGGAGUGCCUUAUUUAUAAGGUUGCAAUAACAAGAUCCAAGCAACUGUUUAUCAAAAACACAGGUCUCCGCUAAGUCGUAAGACGAUGUAUGGGGGCUGACGCCUGCCCAGUGCCAGAAGGUUAAAGAAGUUGGUUAGCAUUCGCGAAGCUGAUAACUGAAGCCCUGGUGAACGGCGGCCGUAACUAUAACGGUCCUAAGGUAGCGAAAUUCCUUGUCGGGUAAGUUCCGACCCGCACGAAAGGCGUAAUGAUUUGGAUACUGUCUCGGAGAGGGGCUCGGUGAAAUAGACUUGUCUGUGAAGAUGCGGACUACCUGCACCAGGACAGAAAGACCCUAUGAAGCUUUACUGUAACUUGAGAUUGAAAUUGGACUUUACUUGCGCAGUAUAGGUGGGAGGCGUUGAUAAUAUUCUUGCGGGAUUAUUUGAGCCAUCAGUGAGAUACCACUCUUGUAAUGUUAGAUUUCUAACUUUGUAUCAUUAUCUGGUCAAGGGACAGUUUCAGGCGGGCAGUUUGACUGGGGCGGUCGCCUCCUAAACGGUAACGGAGGCGCACAAAGGUUUCCUCUGAACGGGUAGAAAUCGUAUCUAGAGUGUAAAGGCAUAAGGAAGCUUGACUGUGAGACCUACAAGUCGAGCAGGGACGAAAGUCGGUCUUAGUGAUCUGACGGUGCUGAGUGGAAAGGCCGUCACUCAACGGAUAAAAGUUACUCUAAGGAUAACAGGCUGAUCUCCCCCAAGAGUUCACAUCGACGGGGAGGUUUGGCACCUCGAUGUCGGCUCAUCGCAUCCUGGGGCGGUAGUACGUCCCAAGGGUUGGGCUGUUCGCCCAUGAAAGCGGUACGCGAGCUGGGUUCAGAACGUCGUGAGACAGUUCGGUCCAUAUCCGGUGUAGGCGUUAGAAUAUUGAGAGGAGCCUUCUUUAGUACGAGAGGACCGAGAAGGACAUACCUCUGGUGUACCAGUUAUCGUGCCAACGGUAAACGCUGGGUAGCUAUGUAUGGAGUGGAUAACCGCUGAAAGCAUCUAAGUGGGAAGCCCACCUCAAGAUAAG
rnacentral:rRNA from 1 species